rnacentral:rRNA from 1 species
UCGGGAAUUUUGGGCAAUGGGCGAAAGCCUGACCCAGCAACGCCGCGUGAGGGAUGAAGUAUUUCGGUAUGUAAACCUCGAAAGAAUGGGAAGAAUAAAUGACGGUACCAUUUAUAAGCUCCGGCUAACUACGUGCCAGCAGCCGCGGUAAUACGUAGGGAGCAAGCGUUGUUCGGAUUUACUGGGCGUAAAGGGCGCGUAGGCGGCGCGGUAAGUCACUUGUGAAAUCUCUGAGCUUAACUCAGAACGGCCAAGUGGUACUGCUGUGCUAGAGUGCGGAAGAGGCAACCGGAAUUCUUGGUGUAGCGGUGAAACGCGUAGAUAUCAAGAGGAACACCUGAGGCGAAGGCGGGUUGCUGGGCCGACACUGACGCUGAUGCGCGAAAGCCAGGGGAGCAAACG